UGAGGAAUAUUGCGCAAUGGGGGCAAACCCUGACGCAGCAACGCCGCGUGAGUGAGGAAGGUUUUCGGACUGUAAAGCUCUGUCGAGCGGGAAGAAGUGUACCAUGGCUAAUAUCCAUGAUAUUUGACGGUACCGCUAGAGGAAGCACCGGCUAACUCCGUGCCAGCAGCCGCGGUAAUACGGGGGGUGCAAGCGUUGUUCGGAAUUAUUGGGCGUAAAGAGCGUGUAGGCGGCUGAGCAAGUCAGAUGUGAAAGCCCCGGGCUUAACCCGGGAAGUGCAUUUGAAACUGUUCGGCUUGAGUAGGGGAGAGGAAAGUGGAAUUCCUGGUGUAGAGGUGAAAUUCGUAGAUAUCAGGAGGAACACCGGCGGCGAAGGCGACUUUCUGGCCCUAUACUGAC
rnacentral:rRNA from 1 species